AUAGCAUAUAUUAAAGUUGCUGCGGUUAAAAAGCUCGUAGUUGGAUCUGGGUAGUCGAUGGACGGUGCGCCUCACGGCGUCUACUGUUCGUUCGGCACCACAUGCCGGCCAUGUCUUGCAUGCUCUUCACUGAGUGUGCUUGGCGACCGGAACGUUUACUUUGAAAAAAUUAGAGUGCUCAAAGCAGGCGUUAAGCCUUGCAUAAUGGUGCAUGGAAUAAUGGAAUAGGACCUCGGUUCUAUUUUGUUGGUUUUCGGAGCUCGAGGUAAUGAUUAACAGGAACAGACGGGGACAUUCGUAUUGCGGCGUUAGAGGUGAAAUUCUUGGAUCGUCGCAAGACGCACUACUG
rnacentral:rRNA from 1 species